rnacentral:rRNA from 1 species
GCCGCGGUAACACGAACCGUGCGAACGUUAUUCGGAAUCACUGGGCUUAAAGGGUACGUAGGCGGUCUUGCAAGUGGGGUGUGAAAUCCCCCGGCUCAACCGGGGAACUGCGCUCCAAACUGCAAGACUUGAGGGAGAUAGAGGUGAGCGGAACUGAUGGUGGAGCGGUGAAAUGCGUUGAGAUCAUCAGGAACACCAGAGGCGAAGGCGGCUCACUGGAUCUCUUCUGACGCUGAGGUACGAAAGCUAGGGUAGCGAACGGGAUUAGAUACCCCGGUAGUCCUAGCUGUAAACGAUGAGCACUGGGUCGAGGAGCCUUCCACAGUUUCUCGGCCGUAGCGAAAGUGUUAAGUGCUCCGCCUGGGGAGUAUGGUCGCAAGGCUGAAACUCAAAGGAAUUGGCGGGGGAGCACGGUCAA